GAAAUACUUGAAGGUUUGAAGACUUUAACUGCUCAAAUCCCCAAUAACUAAAGUGGACAAAUGCCCUACAAUACUUGGAAUUUACCUACUGAAUUCAGGGAUUACCUCUUUAGAAAAACAUUGAUGCUUGCGUUCACACACAGAAGUUAAUGUCUCACUCCAUGCAGGAAGACCCAGUGAAUGACACUAGAAGAAAAUCCUAAAACUGCACAAAGAGAAAAGAGAAAAUCUACAAGGAUGACACAAAUAGAUGUGCCAAAGUGCACAGGGAAAAACCAUGAAAGCUCAACCCUACACAUAGAACUAUAGAGGACUAAGGAAUUCUGAGAGUGGAAGAAACCAUCUCCCCCAGGAAAACAAAACAAAACAGGAUUUGUAGAAGAGGAUUCUUUGUCCAGGCUCUGUGUGAAUCAGCAGAGUGAUACGGUGUCCCCAAAAUGUAGCUGCCAUCCUGAAAUAGAUUAAAGAGUGAUCUGAAU